GACGAACGCUGGCGGCGUGCUUAACACAUGCAAGUCGAACGGAAAGGCCCUGCUUUUGUGGGGUGCUCGAGUGGCGAACGGGUGAGUAACACGUGAGUAACCUGCCCUUGACUUUGGGAUAACUUCAGGAAACUGGGGCUAAUACCGGAUAGGAGCUCCUGCUGCAUGGUGGGGGUUGGAAAGUUUCGGCGGUUGGGGAUGGACUCGCGGCUUAUCAGCUUGUUGGUGGGGUAGUGGCUUACCAAGGCUUUGACUGGUAGCCGGCCUGAGAGGGUGACCGGCCACAUUGGGACUGCGAUACGGCCCAGACUCCUACGGGAGGCAGCAGUGGGGAAUAUUGCACAAUGGGCGGAAGCCUGAUGCAGCAACGCCGCGUGCGGGAUGACGGCCUUCGGGUUGUAAACCGCUUUCGCCUGUGACGAAGCGUGAGUGACGGUAAUGGGUAAAGAAGCACCGGCUAACUACGUG
rnacentral:rRNA from 1 species